rnacentral:rRNA from 1 species
CAGCAGCCGCGGGAAUACGAAGGGUGCAAGCGUUACUCGGAAUUACUGGGCGUAAAGCGUGCGUAGGUGGUGGUUUAAGUCCGUUGUGAAAGCCCUGGGCUCAACCUGGGAAUUGCAGUGGAUACUGGGUCACUAGAGUGUGGUAGAGGAUAGUGGAAUUUCCGGUGUAGCAGUGAAAUGCGUAGAGAUCGGAAGGAACAUCAGUGGCGAAGGCGGCCAUCUGGGACAACACUGACGCUGAGGCACGAAAGCGUGGGGAGCAAACAGGAUUAGAUACCCCUGUAGUCCCUGUCUCUUAUAC